UCUUUUACAAAGCUAUAAGAUAUUUAAGUACCCGUUUUGUAAUUUUCCACUUAAACUGAUAUGUUUGAUGAACUUGGCAGUCUAACUGCAUUGGUUAAAAGGAUGCACAUUUAUAUUUCUAAAUGAAAUGGAAUACUGAAUUUAAAAGGUGAUGUUUUCUCUAUUAAGUAUGAAAAUAGAUACAAAUCUGGCCAGGCGCGGUGCUCACGCCUGUAGUCCCAGCGCUUUGGGAGGCCAAGGCGGGUGGAUCACAAGGUCAGGAGAUCGAGACCAUCCUGGCUAACAUGGUGAAACCCCAUCUCUACUAAAAAUACAAAAAAUUAGCCGGGCAUGGUGGCGGGCA
rnacentral:lncRNA from 10 species